AAAGGAUGCAGCAGUGCAGCUUUGGCUGAUAUCCGAGAUAAAGGAUCAUAGAUGAGCAUUUUCUGCAACAUACAUGGACCAUAUACUGUCCACAACCGAGAAAGUCAUGCAACAGGAUCUAUAUUCCAGGACUCAGUGGAACACAGUGACAAGUGAAUAAUGGAUGGGAAAGGACAUGGAAGAAAAUAGCCAUGCCCUAAUUUGAGCUCCUGUCUUAGGAUUUGCCUGGAUGUACUGCAAAAGAAACCCACAAUCAGGAUGGCAGUGCAUUGGCCAAGAUUUGAGCCAUACAACUCCCAGCAAAGAUGCACCCAAUGGACCACAUGUCAAUGGGACAUGAAUACCUUGAGGAUCCUAACAGAACUUCGGGAGCUCGAUACCAA